GACGAACGCUGGCGGCGUGCCUAAUACAUGCAAGUAGAACGCUGAAGAGAGGAGCUUGCUCUUCUUGGAUGAGUUGCGAACGGGUGAGUAACGCGUAGGUAACCUGCCUUGUAGCGGGGGAUAACUAUUGGAAACGAUAGCUAAUACCGCAUAACAAUGGAUGACACAUGUCAUUUAGUUGAAAGGGGCAAUUGCUCCACUACAAGAUGGACCUGCGUUGUAUUAGCUAGUGGGUGAGGUAAUGGCUCACCUAGGCGACGAUACAUAGCCGACCUGAGAGGGUGAUCGGCCACCCUGGGACUGAGACACGGCCCAGACUCCUACGGGAGGCAGCAGUAGGGAAUCUUCGGCAAUGGGGGCAACCCUGACCGAGCAACGCCGCGUGAGUGAAGAAGGUUUUCGGAUCGUAAAGCUCUGUUGUAAGUCAAGAACGGGUGUGAGAGUGGAAAGUUCACACUGUGACGGUAGCUUACCAGAAAGGGACGGCUAACUACGUG
rnacentral:rRNA from 1 species